CCUACGGGUGGCAGCAGUGGGGAAUAUUGGACAAUGGGCGAAAGCCUGAUCCAGCCAUGCCGCGUGUGUGAAGAAGGCCUUCGGGUUGUAAAGCACUUUCAGUGGGGAAGAAAGCCUUGGGGCUAAUACCCUCGAGGAAGGACAUCACCCACAGAAGAAGCACCGGCUAACUCCGUGCCAGCAGCCGCGGUAAUACGGAGGGUGCGAGGCGUUAAUCGGAAUUACUGGGCGGAAAGCGCGCGUAGGCGGUCUGAUAAGCCGGUUGUGAAAGCCCCGGGCUCAACCUGGGAGCGGCAUCCGGAACUGUCAGGCUAGAGUGCAGGAGAGGAAGGUAGAAUUCCCGGUGUAGCGGUGAAAUGCGUAGAGAUCGGGAGGAAUACCAGUGGCGAAGGCGGCCUUCUGGACUGACACUGACGCUGAGGUGCGAAAGCGUGGGUAGCAAACAGGAUUAGAUACCCUAGUAGUC
rnacentral:rRNA from 1 species